rnacentral:rRNA from 1 species
UACGGAGGAUGCGAGCGUUAUCCGGAUUUACUGGGUGUAAAGGGGGCGCAGACGGCGAUGCAAGCCAGGAGUGAAAGCCCGGGGCCCAACCCCGGGACUGCAUUUGGAACUGUUAAGCUGGAGUGUCGGAGAGGCAGGCGGAAUUCCUAGUGUAGCGGUGAAAUGCGUAGAUAUUAGGAGGAACACCAGUGGCGAAGGCGACUUACUGGACUGUAACUGACGCUGAGGCAUGAGAGCAUGGGGAGCAAACAGG